UUGACCUACGGGAGGCAGCAGUAGGGAAUCUUCCACAAUGGGCGAAAGCCUGAUGGAGCAACGCCGCGUGGGUGAAGAAGGUCUUCGGAUCGUAAAACCCUGUUGUUAGAGAAGAAAGUGCGUGAGAGUAACUGUUCACGUUUCGACGGUAUCUAACCAGAAAGCCACGGCUAACUACGUGCCAGCAGCCGCGGUAAUACGUAGGUGGCAAGCGUUAUCCGGAUUUAUUGGGCGUAAAGGGAACGCAGGCGGUCUUUUAAGGCUGAAAUGAAAGCGUUC
rnacentral:rRNA from 1 species